GAAUCUUGCACAAUGGGGGAAACCCUGAUGCAGCGACGCCGCGUGAGCGAUGAAGCCCUUCGGGGUGUAAAGCUCUUUCGGCAGGAAAGAUCAUGACGGUACCUGCAGAAGAAGCUGCGGCUAACUACGUGCCAGCAGCCGCGGUAAUACGUAGGCAGCAAGCGUUGUUCGGAGUUACUGGGCGUAAAGGGUGUGUAGGCGGUCCGCUAAGUUUGGUGUGAAAUCUCCCGGCUCAACUGGGAGGGUGCGCCGAAAACUGGCAGGCUUGAGUGCGGGAGAGGGAAGCGGAAUUCCUGGUGUAGCGGUGAAAUGCGUAGAUAUCAGGAGGAACACCUGCGGUGCAGACGGCUUUCUGGACCGCCACUGACGCUGAGACUCGAAAGCGUGGGGAGCAAACAGG
rnacentral:rRNA from 1 species